GAAGAUGGAUGGAGUUCAAUUUUGUCAGGGCUCUGGUACACACUCCUCCACACCCUGCAGCUAUUUUGCCAUGUACUUCUCUUUUAUAAAUAAUGCUAACAACAACAUGUUUCACAGUAAAAGAUAUGAUUCCAACCCCUGCUGAAAUUCAGCAUUUAUACCGCAAGCAGUGGAGCAGCUGCUCUAAAUAUAAAUACAUCUAAAAAAAAGAUUGAACUGUCAUGUAUCUCAUCAGGUCCUCUCUAAUUUGGCGCUUUGAUCUGGCUGCACUUCUGCUACAAAGACUUUUAAGUUUUGCAAAUGAUUGCUUUUGGCUAUAAAACAAAGAUCCAGCUGUAAUAUAUACAAAAGCAGCAACAAAUUGGACUUUGACUAUGGUUACAUCUGUUCAUCGUAGCUGAGCAAAAGGCACCGGCCUAAUCAGGCUGACAGGCUGAUUGUACAUCUGGAAGCCAUCCAUAAACUCAAAAGAGAAUGAGGAAAGGGGAAAAGGGGGGAAGGGUCUGUGGCUGCCUUUCUGAAAGCGCUUGCUGCUCAGCAGAUCCCAAAACUGCUUGUGCAUCCCACCCGCCGUCCUUACGCACAAAAAUGAAGAAAUCAGACGGCUGAUUCACCAGUACAGAAAUGUGAAAAUGAUGAACUUUCCCCCGAGUGCACAUAUAUUUACCCCUAACUGGAACCCAGCAGCAUGUAGAGCACAGCCAAUUAACGGGGGACUUUUCCAAAAUGAGUCACACUCUUCCCUCCACAGCUCACUUCUUUUUUACUGAUUCUCUCUGUAGGGAAUCAAGCUAUAUAAGGACAAGAUGAGCUGAAACAUGCAUUAGAAGUUUCUCCUCAGUCCUUGGCCUGCUUUUUUUUUUUUUUUUGUUUCCUCCCAGGGUUUGUUCAACCCACUGCACCAGACUCAGCUGAACUGCGCAGGAUCCAUCCUCUGACACGUCGCCUUCGUGUCCUCAGGUUUGACUGCUUUAAACCACGACGAUGCAAACGGCAACGUGGUGCUAAGGUGGCUUUUGGCAACUCACCCAAUCAGCCGCCGCUCGGAGAGUCAUCAAGUGUUGUGCUACAGGAACUGUCCUCGGAGAUUCUCUCUAAAUAGGCAUUAUCUGGGUCAGAGCUGUGUGGGUAUGUAUACAGGGACCACUUGUGUAUGGAGGAUAGAGCCGGAGCCUAAGCCUUUGUGAUUUUUGUGUCAUUUGUUCAAACACAAAAGAGACGAGAUGAGAAAGAGGGAGAAGGGAUGAAGUUGAGGAAGAGGGAAGAUAACAGAGAAUAAAGGAGAAAUGAGGCAAAAGGUGACUGUCAUUACUCAAAUAAAUGAGGAGUGAAGUCAGAUAGGCAGACAGCUAAAGACACUCUCACACAUGGAGGUGAAGGGACCAAUGGCUGGUCUCCACUUGGCCUAUAUAUCCCUUUGUCCUUUAAGCACAUCUGGCUCAUUAUCACAUCAUGCUUCUUCACACAACAGCUUAAAGCCUGGUCGCCUACAGGAGUGUACACAAGCAGACACACGCGCACUAUUACAGCACACCAAAAUCUCUGGCCUGACUGUCUAAAUCCUUCCGUUAGCUGCCCCCUACCUAGCCACACACGCUUUGAAGCUCUCAAGCUCCCCGAGCAGAGGAGCAAAGGCAUGACAGAGAUGUGCAUGUCUUUGUGUGCAGAGGAGAAAGAGCCUGACAUUGGAAGGCAGAUUUGAUAUCCAAAAGUCUGCAUCUGGUAAAAAUCCUCCCUUUAUUGCACAUAUGUCUUCCUACAAACAGUCUUUUCUUGUGUCAGAUCGCUCAGUUAUGAAGACAUGCUGCAAUCGUUUCUCCAGACACAAAGUAGUCAGUUUUGUGACUGAUUGUAGAGUUCAUAUCCAAAGUUUUUUCUGAGUUUUGUCUCACAGCCUCUAUUAUUUUGGAGUCACUCCUGUGAUCAGAGGUCGGCCUGAUCAACUGACUGCUGAGAAUGAGGCCUUUGACUGGCCAGCUAAAUAGUUCUUUUUAUUGCCCUCAUGUUUUCUUAUCUUUGAUAGAAAUUUGGAAGUCAGUGUGUAAAGGUUUUGGUUUCAACUUCUUUUUGUGUUUAAUGCCAAAUUCACCACUGUAAAUGAUCUGAUUUGGAUAGCCCAUAAUGUUCUCAGAGCCAGAGUUUAUUGAGACUUGAAGUCGGGGAGCUUGAGUCUGACCGGAGGAAACCCUGUGGUGAACUCCAGAAAUGUUAUCUGCGUCGUAAUUAUCUUAGUCGGACAUCUUUGGAUGAGGACUUUAAGAGUCAGGAUUGGUUGAUGCAUCACCGCAAACAAUGCAACCCAGUCCAAAGAUCCUCACGAUGACUUUACUAUUUACAAUUCUGUGUUGACUGGAGUGGAUGCUAAUACUCAUCAACUGGAUCUUCAACUUUUCAGUUUCCAAACACAAAUCCAUCUUAAGGGAAGCACUGAUUGGAUGACUCACAUAACGUGUUUCCUUUAAAAAGUCCCUCUGAUCAUCUUUUGGUCUGUUUUAAAAGCAUUCCCAGUGGUCUCAGCUUAAUUUACUUUAUAUAUGUCCUCCAUCAUGAGAAAAAUGUCACAAGAACAUUUAAACUCAUCUAAAUUUAACUGUAAUGUAUUAUUGCACACAACAAAUAACUAAUCACAUCAAUACUGUCAGGAUUGUGACCUUUGAUUUGGGUUUUAGCAGUUAUAAUUUUUGGUCAUGUUCUGUUUUGAAUUGUCCCUCAGUCACCAGUUUUAGGUUCAUGUUUUGUUUUAUUUUAUUUUUUAUGGUCCUAUCAAAGUCUAUGUCUUGCUAGAAUGUCUGGGGGGGAUAAGGGGCGGGGUUACACUGCUCAGCACCAUAAGCCACGCCCACACAGAAGGGUUUUUGGAAAAGAGGGCUUCAGAUCAACAGAAAAAAAUGGCUUUUUAAGACAUUUAGGAUGUGGAUUUUUUGUUAAAAACUUCACAGUCCUAAUUAAAACCCCACUGGGAACGUUUAAAGAAAAUGUAAAAAAUUGUUGUAGGGGGGCUUUAAAUGCUUUACUUUUCUGCCACCUUGCAUGGUCUCAUGAAAUUUGGGUCCAACUGGGGUCCAUUCCUGACAGAAUGACCUGACCACCUUAGACCCGGCAUUUUUUGGACACCAUACCAUGCCACAACCAACAAGUUUUCCUGCAGCCAUAUUCAUGUCAUGCCAUUCCACGUCCAGCGUAUCCGUUCAUAAGGGGAAUUACCAGUGCCAUCUUUUAAGUUCCCUGUUCCUGUGGAGGGUCACCGGGACCUCUCCUUCCUGUUUCUGUUUCCUUAUCCCUGUCCCUGAGGAUGGAAGUCUCUCCCUCCUUGCCUGUUUUCCCAUGUCCCCUCCUCCCAAGGGUUUUUUUUCUUCUGGGCAUCUGGGAUCUCCCCUUUUAGGGAGGGGUACUGUCAGGAUUGUUCAGUUAUGAUUUUUGGUCAUGUUCUGUUCUGAAUUGUCCCUCAGUAACAUCAGUUUCAGGUUCAUGAUCCGCAGUCGUCUUCAUUUUUGUUUAUUGCCUUCAGUGUAUAUAAGUUUCUGGUUUUUCAGUUGAUCAUUGUCAAGUCAUCUGCUCUGCACCCUUUGUGUUUCUUCAUGCUUUUUGUCAUGUUUUGAGUAAUUCAUUAGUUUCUGUCACCAAACCUAGUCUCUGAAGUAUUGGGUCCUCUAUCACUUUCUAAUACACUAAAUCUAAAAAAAAAAAAAAAGUUUAAUCUUUCAGAUAUCAAAUAUUGUCGCAAAAGGAGGAAAAGCAAAGUUUUUAAAUUAUGAAGACAUUUACUGUGAAUUUAUUUCCGUAUAAGAUAAAGUUCUACACUAAGCUUUUUAUGAGCUGCCCUUUUUGUCAUUAGACGUUAAUCAAUUUAAUAAUGAAUAGCCAUGAACACCGCUUGGAGCCAGCAGGAGAGACGGUCUCAUGAUCUAAGAAAUGUCUUGUGAUUUCUCAAAGGUUUUUAUGUUGGAAACCCUGAAUGUGUUUUUCAACUGAACUACAAAAGCAGCUUUGCAGGGAUUGAUUUUGAAAAUGUUGAACUAAUAUUUAAUGCUCAGUAGUGAUACUCUUAUCUCAAAGGGAGCACCUAAAUCCAGUUGAGUGUUGACCCACAGGGUUUGAGUGAAAGGUCUAAAGUGUAAUUGUUGUUAAACAUACAGAAACAGAGAUUCUGGAUUGCUGCGACCUGAAUGAACAAACAGCUGAUUAGCUCCCUGAUGCACUCGGGACUGCUUGUUGGUUUGCUCUGUGAAUGAAAAGAACAGCAAGGGAGCUAAGUGCAGUCGGGUGUCUAGAAAGGCACCUGGGACAAACUAAGUUAUGGCUUUGUGCUGACCUGAUCCAGCUGACAAAUGAAAAAAAAAGGAGACUAUAAGACAGCCGCAGCCAGCGGGCAGAAACACAGACGGACGUGUCACGCUGACCCAUAUUACGUCUGCCUGCUAAGAAAAAGUUGAUGAGAGCACGAACACUCGUGUUGAGGUGACAGGUGUCUUCCCUAUCUCUGCUAUCUGAGGCUGUAAUUGUUGAUGUCAGACAAAGACACACACAGUCAAAGAUGCAUGCACGUCUGCACACACUCCUGCCCUUCAGCACGCACCCCUAGGGCUUAGAGCAAGAGAGCUUUGAGAGGAGUAUUCACUGCAGCCCCGACCAGCUGUGAAAGACAGGAACAGCAGGAGAGGGCGAGGGACUAUGAGGUGGAAAUGGAGGCGCUGGAGAAAACAGUGGCAGACAGAAAGGGCAAAAAGGAACAGAAUGCACAAGAGACAUUAGGAGAAAAGAAAACAAGGAAUGGGAAAGGAGUGUGGGGGGGCACAAGAACAUGGGGCUGAAAGAGAUGGAGGAGAGGUGAUAAGAGUGUGUGAAUGUGCCUGAGAGGCAGAGAGGAAGAUGGUGCAUGUUAGAACCAGAGUAAAGGAGAUUAUGAAACUCCAGUGGUGACAAUGCAGACGGCCAUGAUUUCCAGUGACUGAGCAGGCGAGUCAUGGUGUUUGGUGUUGAGGAGGGAGCAAAUAUGAAAAGUUUCAAGCACAAGAGAUGAUUUUUUUAUUCUAUUAAUAAAACCCGUGAAAUGAAUGGUUGUGUAACUUAAUCAAAUCAGUACAAAACCUCAUAAAAGCAUCUUAGUUUGACACUAGAACUUCUUUUUAAAUGUCACCUUGACAAUUUUUGUAUUUUAGGUCAGUCUCUAUUAUUCAGUGGUGAUAAUGUUUUUUUCUUGUAAGCAAACGGUAGCUUAUAGAAAUCCACAUCAUGUUUUGGCUUCAUCUGAGUCAAGUGGAGGUGUAACCCCAUGAACAUGGCUUCCAAAAAGAGGACUUCUGGACAGUGAUGCGGUCCCGAAACUGGUACCGUUUUUGUACCAGUGUGCUGUCAAACAUGAGUCUCAAAACCAGAGUUGCUGGGUGGAGCACAGCUGUGAUUGAUUGAAGACCUUCACCAAGCUGUUUCUUGUGAGGAACCAACAUGCAGAGGCCUGUAUGUGCUGGUGGGACAAAUAAAGGAGACGCACAUCUACAUUGAAGACAGGAAGCUCAGCAUUCAUCGAGAGCAGCUGGUGUUAAGUGGACUUUGCAGCAGAAGGAGUAGAAAAAAAAAGAAAGACAUCUACAAACACCAAAGAGGCAGCCGGCAAAGUUUAGAGUGUCUGGAUUACUGCCACUUCCUUGAAGGUGACUUACUUCCCUAGCUGAAAUACAGCAGCUGUUUGAGACUAAACCUGCUUCAACUGGAAAGAGCCGCGAUUGGCUAAAGCAUUCAAACUCUUUUUUUCUUUCUUUCUCUGGAGCCACUUAAGUCAAGUAUGCUUGAAUGCACAAACUGUUACAUGAUGAUGCAGUUCAAACUAACUAUAACCCGGACUGAAAAUUGCUCUGCGAAACCCACCAAUCAGCAAAGAGUGUGUUUUUUUAAUAGCAAGGCUUAAUCCAGCAUCUCUCCUUCCGCAAUCAUCUCAUGGCCUCGCCAACGGCGGCGUGAUUGGCUUCCAAAUUCUCAAAAAGACUCUGGACGUCGGGAGGGAGGAAAGGCCUGAAGGAUCAUUGAUGAGGUAGAAAAACAGAUAAGGGGGGGGGGCUUAAAAGCUGAGGACCCUCUGGGAGUUUUUUUUUGUUUUGUUUUUUUGGCAGGGGGGGCUUAAUUUUAAACAAUGUUAUAACAUGUCUGUUUAGUGUCUCCAACCAUAAGGCUGGUAGCUUCGCUAACGUCCAGCACCACAUCGCCAGGAUUAGGAUUGACCCGUGGGGGUCAAGUGUCAUUUUGGACAAACUCGGGGGGGUCUUGUAUGUAUAAUCCACAGAUCCGGGUUCAGAGGUUAACUGGAUAAUCCUUUGACGAGCAGCAUCAAAAAUAUCAAGUUAUCCAGUUAAUACAGAUCCCCAGAGCACUGGUCUUUCUGAAUCAUUUUUUUUCUAAACAAUAGAUUAUAAAUUGAGGCCAAGUUAAGUUUUGUGCAUCACUGAUUAGAUUUUAGAGACUUUUGUUUCACAAAGGCAUGAUUUUUUUCCCUCUUUAACACAAGCAAAAACAAAAAAUAAAAUAAAUACAUUUAAGUUAAUUUUUAAGUUAAUUACAAUAUAUAGUUUUGUGAGAAAUUCAAAUGAAAAGGCUUUAAUAUUAAGGGUUUUUCCAAUUAUAAAAAACAAAUAUUUCUAUUGUUUUUAUUUUUUUUCUUUUAUUUCUAUUGCUGAUUUUUUUGUGCAAAAAUGUGUAUUCCUACUAAGAAACGUGAAACUGUAGUGUACUUUAAAACAAUGUUUCUCAUUUGUUACUAUUCAGUUUCAUUUUAUCAUAAAAAAUAAAGUCAGAGGAAAGUAAGUAAUGACAUUUCUGUCAAUUUGUUUCAGAGAAUAAC